GAUGAACGCUAGCGGCAGGCUUAAUACAUGCAAGUCGAGGGGUAACAUGGGUAGCAAUACCUGAUGACGACCGGCAAACGGGUGCGGAACACGUACGCAACCUUCCCAUAACUGGUGGAUAGCCUUUCGAAAGAGAGAUUAAUACACCGUAACAUAACGAAGAGGCAUCUCUUUGUUAUUAUAGAAGCAAUUCGGUUUUGGAUGGGCGUGCGCCUGAUUAGGUAGUUGGCGGGGUAACGGCCCACCAAGCCUACGAUCAGUAACUGGUGUGAGAGCACGACCAGUCACACGGGCACUGAGACACGGGCCCGACUCCUACGGGAGGCAGCAGUAAGGAAUAUUGGUCAAUGGACGAAAGUCUGAACCAGCCAUGCCGCGUGAAGGAUUAAGGCCCUCUGGGUUGUAAACUUCUUUUAUAUGGGACGAAAAAAGGGCUUUCUAGCUCACUUGACGGUACCAUAGGAAUAAGCACCGGCUAACUCCGUGCCAGCAGCCGCCGUAACAC
rnacentral:rRNA from 1 species